AAAAUAAUAUAUCAAUUAUAUUUAUUUCUUCAUAAUUAAAUCAAAUUUAACAAGUAAUUAUUAAAUGAAAUUAUAAUAAUAUUAAUACUUUUAAUUCUAAUAACUUCCUUUUAUACUCAUGAUUGAGUGAAUUUAGUAUAAUGUUUGUAUGGGGGUGUGUCAGGUGUGUACGUGUUUCAAGUUUAAAUUUUAUGCACGAAAAAUGACAAUAAUCAAAAUAAUGUUGAAUGCAAAAGAAUAUUCAUUUAAUAAUGCUUGACAUUUUAUUAUCAACCAGUCAGUAAAUUACUAUAUGAAAGACUUGAUAAGAAAAUUAACCUGCUCGUUGACAUGUUUUGAUUUUUGUAUAAUUUUGACGUGUAAAUUUGAUUCAUUAAAGACCAACUCGAUGAUGUAUACAACUUAUUUUCUGUUUAAUAUAUUUAAGCUUAAUAAUUUUGUCUUAAAACAUCUGAAUAUUCUGAUUUUUAUGCAAAUUGCUUUAAAAUAUGUAUCUUAUUUGUGCAAAUUAAUUAUAUGAAUUAAAAUACUCUAAUUUUGGGCAAAUUAUAUUUAUUUUAUUAAAUUACAGGCGCGCUACCAAUGGGAGGGAAAGGGGGAUACCCUCUCCCCCCAUCGCAAAUUUGACUGUUUUCAUAAAUAUCAUUUUAAGCUAAUAAAAAUUUUACCUCCCCCCCCCCCAAUCAAAAUUUUACAAAUAUUUGAAUAUCAAUUUUCCAACAUAUUAUUCAAAAAUAUUAAUAAA